rnacentral:tRNA from 1 species
AGCGGGAUGGACCAGUAGUAGGUCGCCAGGCCCAUAACCUGGAGAUCGUGGGUGCAAAUCCCACUCCCGCAACAA